GUUUUGUUUACUUUGCUGUAUUCUUAAAAUAUUGAAUUACCUGUUGAUAUUUAACAUGGAACACUUUUACAUAAAUAUCCAGAAUUUAGACCUCUCUUGGAAAAGAAAAGAAAUGCGGCAACCAGCAUAGGCCUGUAUUUACCAUGUGGCUGUGUGCACCUCCCACUUCACCUGCUGGGCCCCGGAAGGCAUUUGCGUUUCCCACCGCUGAUCAGGAACAGGAGUUUGUUCAUCUGGCAAAGAGACUGGUUAGUGAUCCUGCAUUAGAAAAGGAAAUCGUAGUGAACGGAAGGGAAUACGUGAGAAUGUAUCAUUCAUGGCAGGUGGAAAGAGACACCUACCAACAGCUCAUCAGGAAGCUGGAAGGAAGCACUGAAGAUUGAGGGCCCCGCCUCAUCAGACACCUGCUCUCUGACACACAGCUCUGGGUGCACACUCAGAGACAGAGUUCUGGAUCACGUGGGCCCAGUGCAGUUCAAAUAAAACCAGCCUCAGCGGAAUCCUAGAAAAUGUUAGUCGUGAGUCCCCAGAGCCACUGCAUUCAUCCCAUAUCCUUCUGUGCGUUCAGAUGCUGUCCCAGGCGUGUUCACCAGCCAGUCCUGAUGGAGGUGCAUGAGUGACUGGGUUGACUGGGACAGGGAAAGGGGAACUGGUUUUCAGGGAAUUUGGGAGAGAAUUUGAUUACCUGCCUUAGGGCUUUGGUGUGGACAAUAGAGGCUUAUUUUCAAGCAGUCAUGGUUCAGACUCCUCCCGCCUGCCUUCUGACCAACCUCUCCCCAUCGUUGCCAGUUUGAAAGGCAAAAGCAAAACAGACGUGUCAGCUGAGCCGAGUCCUCGCAGGAUUUUUGUUGUGAUCUCAGGACUCUGACAGGCACGUGGGUGACCCGAGGCUUCUCUGAACACUAGAAAGCGCUGUGAGUGAGCUCACGCCCGGCACAGCUCACUUUUCAAUGGUGGAAUUGAAAGUUGUGCUUUUUAGAAAAGUGGCCAGGCUGCCCGCAGGCCCCGCCCACCUCUUGGCUGAAUUUGAGUGGAAAACCAGGAAGGAACAAGCGCCACGUCACGCAUAGCCUGCAAAUCGCCCGCGUGACCCUGAGAUGGAGGCCUGAGGCUUUGGGUCCAGGGUGGGCUCUUCCCCUUCCCACAUCAGGGACCCGGGGAUGGAUGUCGGAAGGGUCACCAGCCUCCAGCCUUUGGCAGGAUGGAGCUUGGGUCUGCAGGGCUUUGCAGCCACACAGCGAGGUCAGUCCGGGGCCAGCCGCGCCAUCAUGGUAAUGGUGGCCUCGCCCCAUCCAUGUCAUCCAUGUCACAUGAGGACGUGCAGUCUUCCUUGUCCUCUCCUAGUGGAAUUUGCCUGGGAGAACCUCCACUGAAUACUGAAAUUGUUGCAUGCCUGUGGAUUCCUUACGACAAUGGGGAACGCGGUGUUUCCCACCUCUUGUGGGUAGAAAGCAGUCUGCUUUGAGGAGGCGAGAAGGCAAAGCCAGGGCAGGGCGUUGCUGUGGGAAGCGUUCGGUGAAAGCGGGUUUCGACGCUUAGGAGGGCCGAGGGAGAAGAUUCCACCAGCAUUGUCCUUGCUUCAAGUUUUAGGAUGUCUGAACUUUCAGCUUUCAUGUUUUCAACCAUCAUUUUUUUAAUGGCACAACCUACAUCUUGUUUUUAAAAGAAGUAGCCUCAAAUUAAACUCCUUAAACUCUGAUGCCCUGGGGAUGAGAACAACUAGCUUGGAUCUCGUGCCGUGUAAUUCAAUGUUUCAUUCCGCUGCCUCCAUCAUGUAAUAGAAUCGCUUUCCAGAAAGGCAGUUAACUGGAAGCAGCAGAGGCUCCCAGCCGUGAGAGGACUGCUCAACAAUGCCCCCCAUCGCCGCCCCCCCACCCCUCGCACCCCUUGUGUUUUCCCUCUGAGGGGCCCAAGGGUUAUGGCUUUCAUGUCUAGGUGUGGGGACAGAGGAGGGAGAGGCAGAUCCUGGGCCGGGAGAGGAUGGCCUGGUCUGAAUCUGGAGUAAUUAAUGCCACCCAAAGAAAAGGCCCUGCCAGGUCCAAUGUUGUCUUAGAUCUGAUGAUGCUGCUAUUUACAAAACACUGAUCGUCCGAAAGCUUGAAUCUGUUCCUCCUCGAAUGACCCUGUAGAUGCCUGACCUCCACCGUACCUCCACAUCACUAUUCAUGUCCUUCUAGGAAAAUGUGCACAUGCCUCACGCACUAUGUGGGAAGGGCGUGUUUUUAAAUUAAUAAAGUGUGUC
rnacentral:lncRNA from 1 species